UUGAUGCGACCGGUACACGGCGCGAAACCGUGGCCACUCCUCGGCACAGGGGUUGAUUCCUCCGGACACGCGGACCUUUCCCGGCCGGGGGUAACUUUUCUUCAAAUCUAAUUAUUCGAUUUGAGUGCUCGUGUUAACGGAAAAUCGAGUCGUCCGAGUUGGUGCUCGGUCUUGCGACGACACUCUCGACGCAGUGCAGUGUACUUGAUUUGUGUCAAUCCUUCUGACAGUCUUUUGCAUUGAUUUUAAUAUAUUUUUUCUACAUUGUCGUUGAUGUCCUCGUGAUCAUCGUAAAUUCGAUAUUUAUCUUUUCUCUUCAAUUAUAAGACUGUGCGCUUCUUUCAAAACUUUCCCUUGACACAUUGAAGAAUGGCGGGUAACAGCGUUCCGGUCUUAUUGGUUACUGCAAAUGUUGGCAGUAUUUUCGAGGAGCCUAGCGUGAUGUUAAAAAUUUGGACGGAAGAAUUUUUAUCUACUAUACUGAGGUUGGAUCCAAAAUUUAUUGCACUGCACUGCCAAGAAGUAGGUGGAAAAAAUUAUGAGCACAGCACCAGACAAGUGGAAGAUUUUGUUAGAUUAUUAAUGUCUUCCGAAGAAUUAAGGCUGUUUGAUAAAAUUAGAGUAUUCUUAGAUGAAGAUUAUUCAUCUGCUGAACAUUUUACGGCACUUGGAAAUUUUUACUUUGUGCAUGAAUCUUUGAAAAACGUUUUAUUAUGGGAUUUCCAAGAAUGUACUUUUAUAUCCGUAAAUGGAAAGGAAGUUCAUUCUGGUAACAUAGAAGCAGUCACAACCAAAGAAAAAGCUAAGUUUCCUCAGGAAUUCUUUCCAGAAUGUAAAUGGUCUAGAAAAGGAUUUCUAAGGACACGAUGGAGUAUUAGUGGAACAGUUUUUGAUCUCAUAAAUAUACAUUUAUUUCAUGAUGCCAGUAAUUUUAUUGCUAUGGAAACAUUUCCAUCCGUAUAUAGUAAAACGCGUAGAAGAGCACUCGAGCAUACAUUAGAUAGGUUUCAUAAUGAUAAAUAUUCAAAUGUACCAUACUUUUUAUUUGGAGACUUUAAUUUUAGGACAGAUACAGCCGGUGUAAUUAAAAAACUUACAGAAGAUACUCAAGAGAGAAGGUUAUCAAACAAAGGAAGCAUUUCAAAGCUACAAUUUCAUAAUAAAGACGAUGAUCUCAUAUUAACAUUAGGAAAAAAAGAAUUUUCUCAUUAUGAGCAUCAGAAUGUUUUUGUGAAAAAUAGUGGACAAUGGCUACGUGAAUAUGAUAGAGAGCUGGAAGACUUUGAUGGAAGAUUAUUUGAAUUUCCGAUUAAAUUUAUACCCAGUUAUCCAUUUGAGGAAGAUAUCAAUGAAGGUUCAAAUUAUAUGCAAACAAGAGUACCGGCUUGGUGUGACCGUGUUCUAUUGAAUCCUACCGCUAAAAUGCUAGUCCAAGAUAUAUCAUCACCUGAUGCUGUGGAAUAUGGAAUAAUAGGUCCAACAACUUGUAUGGGCGAUCAUAAGCCUGUUUUUCUGGAGUUUCGAAUGAAUCUCUAAGCACUAAGAGAUGCACGAUAAUACAUAAGGAUCGUCCAUUUUUUCCCGUUUGCAGCCAGUCUAUUUGAGGGCUAAUCUCAUCGUGGACGAAGACGUGAUGAACGAGAAGUCCGAAUCUGGUACGAUGUCCAAUUUGAGCAGUCGUGAAAUAUUCAACAAUAUCAA
rnacentral:misc_RNA from 1 species